rnacentral:rRNA from 1 species
GCCCAUAAGACUGGGAUAACCCACGGAAACGUGAGCUAAUACCGGAUAGGCAUUUUCCUCGCAUGAGGGAGAUGAGAAAGGCGGAGCAAUCUGCCACUUAUGGAUGGACCUGCGGCGCAUUAGCUAGUUGGUAAGGUAACGGCUUACCAAGGCGACGAUGCGUAGCCGACCUGAGAGGGUGAUCGGCCACACUGGGACUGAGACACGGCCCAGACUCCUACGGGAGGCAGCAGUAGGGAAUCUUCCGCAAUGGACGAAAGUCUGACGGAGCAACGCCGCGUGAGUGAUGAAGGUUUUCGGAUCGUAAAGCUCUGUUGCCAGGGAAGAACGCCUAGGAGAGUAACUGCUCUUAGGGUGACGGUACCUGAGAAGAAAGCCCCGGCUAACUACGUGCCAGCAGCCGCGGUAAUACGUAGGGGGCGAGCGUUGUCCGGAAUUAUUGGGCGUAAAGCGCGCGCAGGCGGCAAUGUAAGUUGGGUGUUUAAACCUAGGGCUCAACCUUGGGUCGCAUCCAAAACUGCAUAGCUUGAGUACAGAAGAGGAAAGUG